GGGGGCGACCUGGAUUCGACGGGGAUGGCGAAGCCUGAAUUGCGUGCCGAGGUCCCCGACACCUCGUAAAUCUCGGGAACAAUUUUACCUGACGAGCAAGAAUACGCUCUCGCUGCCUAAAUAGGCAGCGCGUGGGGGCUGUUGGGGCCUGUAACGGCAGCCCUUGCGACGACUACAGCAGGCUAGUCCAGCGCUUUUGUUCAAGAACGCUGGGCGAAACUUCUUGAACUGGUUCCAUACGGAUCAAGUCAGUCAGAGCCGCGUGGAACGAGAUUAAAAGACUGACUACGCACGUAGUAUAUUUUGGUAGGAUUAUCUUCGGACGCGGGUUCGAUUCCCGCCGCCUCCACCA
rnacentral:tmRNA from 1 species